GGCCCUAGAACUGCAGUUACAGAGGUGUGAACUGUCAUGUGGGGCUGGGAACCAAACCCGCGCCCACUGUAAGAGCAUCAAAUGCCAUCUCUCAGCCUUGACGCUGCUCUUUCCUGAGGUCCCUGAACACCUGACAGGCAGGAGCAGGUCCCCAGCUGGCUGGUGCCAUCUUAGCUUCCCAAUUCUCCUCCCAUGGGAGCUGGAGCAUCUGUCUCUGCUCGCUGUGUCUGGCUGGAGCGUAACAGUGGGACCCUGUGAGCAGCCAGUGGCCCCUCAAGAACUAGACUACAGCACAGGAGGUUGGCCCAUUUGCCCCUGGCCCCUGAUGCUCUCUGGUGGCAUCCACAGACUCUUUCUAGAACGGGUCUAUAUGAAAAAAAUUAAUAAUUUAAAAACAAAACCACAGAGGAGUAUAAAGAAAACCAAUUAUAUCUAGAUACAAAAAUCACCACACAGAGUCUGCACCUGGUCUACAAUGGCACAACUUCCAGGCCUGGAGUUCUGCAGGAUUCCUUUCUUAGAGAAGCAAACCUGCGGGCUUCUCCCACCACCCACCUGCAGCAGCGGCGGCAUCUCCCGAUGUUUUGGGGCCCCCUGAGUCCCGUCACCGCUGAAGAGCUGCAGGAGAGCACCCGAGGACCAGCAUUUGCUGAACAAUAUGUUGGGCCCCUGUUGAAAAUGACUGCAGGUCUCGGGGCUACACCCACAGGUGACCCGGCCUGGGACACAGAGGAUUAAGGUAAGAUUCAUUGCAGAUUUCACUACGCCCGGAUGAUCACAGGAGGCCGGGCGAAUCUCACAGGCUUUCCAGACUUUUGAGUUUUCAGAUUCUCUCUAGAAGACCGGCCUGAGCAGUCAGACUUCCAGAUCGCAGACCAGCUGCCCUGCGGGAAUUGGGAUCCCGGAGCGCCCCCUAGUGGACAUCUGGGCAUGACCGCGCACCCGGUGGACACCGGACCCAAACCAACCUAGGCUGAGGAGGGACAGAGCAGACUUUAUCAAAGGGCUUUGAAGAGCACCCGCUGCGCUUUGCUUUUUUUAUGCCCCGGGAACAACUCAAGUCGAAGGCGCCGCCCUCCGAGCCACAGUUCCGCCGAGAGCAGCUACUGAGAGAUCUGUUCCUGCAGCCAGUGCGCGUCCCGCAGGCAGUGAGGGUAUCCCCUAAGACUUAACCAGGCGCUGUUUCCUCUCGGCGAUUCAAGAACAUGCCUGGCCUGUUUAUAUCCUCAGAGGGAGAUGAUUCUAUACUCACACAAGUUCAACAUAACCGCGAUGAGUGCCAAGGAGGAGACCAGCAAGAACACAUCGCGGGAGGCGGGGGGGGGGGGCUUUCUGGAGGAGGCGACAUUGGAAUUGGUUGGCAAGGGGGCCUGGGGUGGUAAAUUUGGUAACAAGGUCACACUGCAGGGCCGGUCCACUGUCGGGGGUCACUAGCCACAGCCCACUGCCAUGAGGGGUUGGGAGCAACGACAAGAAGAGGGAGGGAUUCUGGUUCUAAUUUUCACUAGGGAAUGUUAGUUGGAGAUUCAUUUAAAAUGGAAAUUUGGAAAAUUCUAGCAUCUUUGCCCUUGUUAAACCUAUUUAUAGUCUGUUCCUCGGACUAAAGGUCAUUCUCCACUUCUUUC